AUGAUUAAUCUGUUAAGAUGAAACUUGUGCAUUCAUUGUGUGUGUUCAAUCAUAAUCGGAACCAAAUUGCAUCUGUUUCUGGAGGUGCGGAUCAAGGUUUUGAAAAAAGGAGGCCCCUGACCAAGGCAAGCAAACGUUUGGAGUGAUACUUGUAAAUAGUCUAUACAUUUAUCUUAUAAGUAGCUCCAUAAGGGGGUCGGGGCCCCUAAAUCUGCAACUGUUCAAGCAUCUACGUACACCAAUUAUGAAUUGUUCAUUGAUAUAAAAAAAAUUUAUAAGGAUAUGUGGCUUGUGUGUUUGAUUGCCAAUACACCUUAUUGCUAUUUGUCCGCCAUUACUGGCCAUGGACAUCACAAAAGUUCCCAUAAAAUGUUGACGUCAUAUAUGAAAAUAUUUGACACCACAAUUGAAAGUAAUACACCUUAUCGCUAUUUGUCCGCCAUUACUGGACAUCACACAACUGUCACAAGUUCCCUUAAAAUUUUGACGUCAUCAUAAAAAAUAUCUGAUGCCACAAUGGAAAAGUGAUUGUUGUUUGAUGUCAAAAGUUCAAGCAGGAUAGAUUCUCGGGUCAAGCGGGAAUAGGGAUAAGGUGUAUUAUUGUAUGACGUAUGCUGACGUAAAAAGUUCAAGCGGGACAGAUUUCCAAAUACUGAAAUAGCGAUAAGGUGUAUGAGACAGCUAUCCACCAGAAUUUAAAUGACUUGGAUAAAAGAAAUUAUAGGUCACUGUACGGCUUUCAAAACUGAGAAAACCAAUGCCAUAUAGUCCACUUUGAAGCCUUGACAAACAAAUGUUAAAUUUUUCUCAACACAAUUGAAACAAAACAACUUACUAACUGCCUACAUUAAAUACACAUUAUGAAAAAGAAAUUUGACCGACUUAAACCAACAACUAUUGCAAUAAGCAUGACUCAAUACCUUGUUUCCGAGGCACACAAACAAGUUACAAUAACACUAAUAUAAGCACCAUGUGAAUAUGGAGAUUUUUUUUUCUAGUAAAAUCAGUGUAUGUAUGUAUUUGCAAAACAGUAAAUUAAAUUUCCCUUAACCACCGUGCAUCAUCAGUACAGCGGAUAUAGGUACUAACCAAGCGGGCGUGAUCUAUUUUGACCUCACACGGUAACGAAAAUCUUUAUUUUGUUCACAUAAUAUCAAUGUGUACCUCAAUCUAAACAUAGUUGUUGUUUUAAGAAAUGAUUUGGUCGUAGGUUGAUGAUUAGAGAUGUCUCGUUAUUUUCCCAAAACAAGAACGAUUACUAAAAACAUGUGCAAAUACUUGUCAAAGAAGUUGGCACUCGUCUCAUCAGAUAUAAUUCUAUAUUCAUUGAUUCUCUUUUUCUGAUAGAAGGCCACUGUGCAUGUGUAAUAAGUAUAGUUGUAUCAAUAAUUGGCAUUGAAAUCUUUCAUGCAUAUGUUUUUUUCGAUAUUUUAUUCCGAAAAGAAGCGUUGUGUACGGUGUUUAGCUGACCACAUAAAUCCUUCUGUACAGUGCAUAGUUAAGUUUCUGUACACCGUACACAAAAACAAAAUUUUCAUACUCUUUUAUUACCCAAAAAGUUUCAAGGAAUGAGUAAUCACAGGUAGGUUUAUGAUUGGUAACUAUUACUUUUGCCAUGUAUUAGCUUUCUUUCAGGUAAAACAUGUAAAUGUCUCGACAAUUGUAUUGAAAUUGAAAGUUGGUGUUGACAUUCACAACUAUUUGUGCAUUUACAAGUUAAUUGUUCUUAUUAGAAUAUAAAAAUUGUCUUAUAAAUAGGAAAAAAUCGAUGCGAAAAUUAUUUUGGAGCAGGAAUUUCAGAUGUUGAGAAAUGUACACUGAAUGUUGAUAAAACAAAACAAAGAUUUUCGUUACCGUGUCAGUUCAAAAUCGUUCAUGCCCGCUUGGUUAGUACCUAUAUCCGCUGUACGAUGAUACACGGUGUUAACAGCUUAAUGAACAUUACAAAGACUAUGUAAGACUUCAGUACAAGCAAGAUAAUAUAAACUGUUGCUUAAAAUUAUAUUUAUUGCUUCAUACACACAAUGUACAUACAAUGUAUCUUUUAUUUUUUAACAGGAGCUAAAAGAAAAGCCACAAAGGACAAGUUCAAUAUGCAGGUUUACAAUUUGGAAGUGUCGCAGGUUCUUUGGAAUCACUACAACCUUUCAGGAGAAUUUUUUUUUGAAAAGCAUGGCACAGCAAGGAAAAGAUAUAAGACACUACAAGACAUUCCAAGUGAUUUUGAAUAAGACAACUGAUUGACUUUUUCAAUGUAUUCUUAAAUAAAUCAAAUAGUUGAUGUAAAA